GAGUUUGAUCAUGGCUCAGAGCGAACGCUGGCGGCAGGCCUAACACAUGCAAGUCGAGCGCCCCGCAAGGGGAGCGGCAGACGGGAGAGUAACACGUGGGAACGUGCCCUUUGGUUCGGAAUAACCCAGGGAAACUUGGACUAAUACCGGAUAAGCCCUAACGGGGAAAGAUUUAUCGCCGAAGGAGCGGCCCGCGUCUGAUUAGCUUGUUGGUGAGGUAAUGGCUCACCAAGGCGACGAUCAGUAGCUGGUCUAAGAGGAUGAUCAGCCUCACUGGGACUGAGACACGGCCCAGACUCCUACGGGAGGCAGCAGUGGGGAAUAUUGGACAAUGGGGGAAACCCUGAUCCAGCCAUGCCGCGUGAGUGAUGAAGGCCCUAGGGUUGUAAAGCUCUUUCAGCGGGGAAGAUAAUGACGGUACCCGCAGAAGAAGCCCCGGCUAACUUCGUGCCAGCAGCCGCGGUAAUACGAAGG
rnacentral:rRNA from 1 species